rnacentral:rRNA from 1 species
UACGUAGGGUCCGAGCGUUGUCCGGAAUUAUUGGGCGUAAAGAGCUCGUAGGCGGUUUGUCGCGUCUGCUGUGAAAUCCCGAGGCUCAACCUCGGGCCUGCAGUGGGUACGGGCAGACUGGAGUGCGGUAGGGGAGAAUGGAAUUCCUGGUGUAGCGGUGGAAUGCGCAGAUAUCAGGAGGAACACCGAUGGCGAAGGCAGGUCUCUGGGCCGCAACUGACGCUGAGGAGCGAAAGCAUGGGGAGCGAACAGG